ACAAAAUGCUAGGGGUCCUGAAUGCCAAAGUACGGCAAACGGGUGAGAAAUACCCUUGAACCUGAUCUGGGUAAUGCCAGCGAAGGGAAGCUGCCGGACCGGCGU
rnacentral:ncRNA from 2 species